rnacentral:ncRNA from 2 species
UCAAAAUUAGUGUGUUCAGGUUUCCUUCGGGAAUGGAAAGGGAAGGUUGUGAGAUUCAACCACGGUCCCGCCGCUGUGAGUGCGACGAAAUCUGUAGAAUGCCACCAACGUUCCGUCGUUCCGUUGGGAAGGCGCAGAAAGUAGGAUGACCACGAGUCAGAAGACCUGCCUGAAUUAUUCAAGGCUU